UACAGAGGUCUCAAGCGUUGUUCGGAUUCAUUGGGCGUAAAGGGCGCGUAGGCGGCGGGGUAAGUCGGGUGUGAAAUCUCAGAGCUCAACUCUGAAACUGCACUCGAUACUGCUCUGCUUGAGGACUGGAGAGGAGACUGGAAUUCACGGUGUAGCAGUGAAAUGCGUAGAUAUCUGGAGGAACACCGGUGGCGAAGGCGGCGUUCUGGACUGCAACUGACACUGAGGAACGAAAGCCAGGGGAGCAAACGGG
rnacentral:rRNA from 1 species